ACUCCUACGGGAGGCAGCAGUGGGGAAUUUUGGACAAUGGGCGAAAGCCUGAUCCAGCAAUGCCGCGUGAGUGAAGAAGGCCUUCGGGUUGUAAAGCUCUUUUGUCAGGGAAGAAACGGUGAAAGCUAAUAUCUUUUGCUAAUGACGGUACCUGAAGAAUAAGCACCGGCUAACUACGUGCCAGCAGCCGCGGUAAUACGUAGGGUGCAAGCGUUACUCGGAAUUACUGGGCGUAAAGCGUGCGCAGGCGGUUUUGUAAGUCUGAUGUGAAAUCCCCGGGCUCAACCUGGGAAUUGCAUUGGGGACUGCAAGGCUAGAAUCUGGCAGAGGGGGGUAGAAUUCCACGUGUAGCAGUGAAAUGCGUAGAUAUGUGGAGGAACACCGAUGGCGAAGGCAGCCCCCUGGGUCAAGAUUGACGCUCAUGCACGAAAGCGUGGGGAGCAAACAGGAUUAGAAACCCUAGUAGUCCCAUG
rnacentral:rRNA from 1 species